rnacentral:rRNA from 1 species
UUAUCUGGUUGAUCCUGGCGGGAGUCAUACGCUCGUCUCAGAGAUUAAGCCAUGCAUGUGUAAGUGUGAAUACCUUUAGCGUGAACCUGCGAAUGGAUCAUUAUAUCAGUUAUGGGUUAUUUGGAAUGGGUUGUAUGUGGAUAACCGCACAAAUUCUAGGGCUAAUACAUGGGUUUUCUUUGUUGGGUAACCAGUAAAGAAGUACUUAUUAGACAUAAAACCAUUUUCUUAAUGGAGAGGAAUAAUUAGUGUUUGGCUUUUUUCCCUGGUUUUUUGCUCUCUCGAGGUGCUUUUCAAGUUUCUGCCCUCUCGCCUUUCUAUGGGCUCGUGUUGGAGUACCAUGGCAGAUACACGGAAAAAAAAGAUUUGGCGCGAUAUCGCAGAGGGGGACUGAGAGAUGGAUACCCCAUCCCCGGAAAGAGGCGGGGGCGUGGAUGACCCCCUCCUGACACACGGCCCCAGUGACAAUAAACAUCAAUAUACGCUCUCUGGGGAUGUGAUUGAAAAGAGAACAAUGUUCACUAUAUAUAGAUAUACACUCUCGGAGGGCUCUCUCGCGCCCUCAGCUGCGGAAACUCCGGCUCUCAUAGCAUAUAUAUUACGUU